rnacentral:lncRNA from 14 species
CUACUCAGCUGAGUUUGUAGUUUGUUUUUUUUUUAAACCAACAGCAUUCAUCACCCUUUUUUCACAGGAAAGUCUUUCUCAAGGGAGCAACAGCUUGGACACACAGCUGGUUGAAACUGUAUCUGUUAAAACUCAUAAACAUUUAGUCUUUCACCGUUCCUUCUGUGAUGUGAUGAUAUGAAGAGGAAAUAAGGAACGGAAAUUCUGGCACUGAAAGGUAAUUCCUAUGGACAUUCUAGAAGAGAAGGAUAGAAUAUGAGGAUCUGGUUCGAGACCAUCUUAAGAACCUGAAUGUACACAAAUCCAUGGGACCUGAUGAAAUCCAUCCGCGGGUCCUGAAGGAGCUGGCGAAUGAAGCUGCAAAGCCACUGGC